AGAGUUUGAUCCUGGCUCAGAACGAACGUUGGCGGCGUGGAUUAGGCAUGCAAGUCGAACGAAUCCCGGGGGGCAACUCCCGGGGGAAGUGGCGAAAGGGGCAGUAAGGCGUGGGUAACCUACCCUGGGGUCCGGGAUAGCCUCUCUAACGGGAGGGUAAUACUGGGCACCGUAAGUGCAGCGCCUGUUGUGCUUACGAAAGAAUUUCGCCCCGGGAGGGGCCCACGUGGUAUUAGCUUGUUGGUGGGGUAAUGGCCUACCAAGGCCAAGAUGCCUAGCAGGUGUGAGAGCACGACCUGCGCCACUGGCACUGAGACACUGGCCAGACUCCUACGGGAGGCUGCAGUCGAGGAUCUUCGGCAAUGGGCGCAAGCCUGACCGAGCGACGCCGCGUGUGCGAUGAAGGCCUUCGGGUUGUAAAGCACUGUCGAGGGGGAGGAAGACCCGCAAGGGUUUGACCUAUCCCUGGAGGAAGCACGGGCUAAGUUCGUGCCAGCAGCCGCGGUAAGACGAACCGUGCGAACGUUGUUCGGAUUCACUGGGCUUAAAGGGCGCGUAGGCGGCUUGUCAAGUCAGGGGUGAAAUCGUUCGGCUCAACCGGACAAUUGCUUCUGAUACUGAUGGGCUGGAGGGAGGUAGGGGCAGAUGGAACUUCCGGUGGAGCGGUGAAAUGCGUAGAUAUCGGAAGGAACGCCGGUGGCGAAAGCGAUCUGCUGGAUCUCUACUGACGCUGAGGCGCGAAAGCCAGGGGAGCAAACGGGAUUAGAUACCCCGGUAGUCCUGGCCCUAAACGAUGGGUA
rnacentral:rRNA from 1 species